CUAUACAUGCAGUCGAACGCACUUUCGUUGAAUGAAUUAGAGGUGCUUGCACCGAAGAUGAUUUUAGCUAUAAAGUGAGUGGCGAACGGGUGAGUAACACGUGGGUAACCUGCCCAGAAGUGGGGGAUAACACCUGGAAACAGAUGCUAAUACCGCAUAACAAAGUAAACCGCAUGGUUUACUUUUAAAAGAUGGCUUCGGCUAUCACUUCUGGAUGGACCCGCGGCGUAUUAGCUAGUUGGUGAGAUAAAGGCUCACCAAGGCAGUGAUACGUAGCCGACCUGAGAGGGUAAUCGGCCACAUUGGGACUGAGACACGGCCCAGACUCCUACGGGAGGCAGCAGUAGGGAAUCUUCCACAAUGGACGAAAGUCUGAUGGAGCAACGCCGCGUGAGUGAUGAAGGCUUUAGGGUCGUAAAACUCUGUUGUUGGAGAAGAACGUGUGUGAGAGUAACUGCUCAUGCAGUGACGGUAUCCAACCAGAAAGCCACGGCUAACUACGUGCCAGCAGCCGCGGUAAUACGUAGGUGGCAAGCGUUAUCCGGAUUUAUUGGGCGUAAAGCGAGCGCAGGCGGUCUUUUAAGUCUAAUGUGAAAGCCUUCGGCUUAACCGAAGAAGUGCAUUGGAAACUGGAAGACUUGAGUGCAGAAGAGGACAGUGGAACUCCAUGUGUAGCGGUGAAAUGCGUAGAUAUAUGGAAGAACACCAGUGGCGAAGGCGGCUGUCUGGUCUGUAACUGACGCUGAGGCUCGAAAGCAUGGGUAGCGAACAGGAUUAGAUACCCUGGUAGUCCAUGCCGUAAACGAUGAAUGCUAAGUGUUGGAGGGUUUCCGCCCUUCAGUGCUGCAGCUAACGCAUUAAGCAUUCCGCCUGGGGAGUACGACCGCAAGGUUGAAACUCAAAAGAAUUGACGGGGGCCCGCACAAGCGGUGGAGCAUGUGGUUUAAUUCGAAGCUACGCGAAGAACCUUACCNNUCUUGACAUCUNUGCCAUCUAGAGAUUAGACGUUCCCUUCCGGGACAGAAUGACNGGUGGNGCAUGGGUUGUCGUCAGCUCGUG
rnacentral:rRNA from 1 species